rnacentral:rRNA from 1 species
GACGAACGCUGGCGGCGCGCCUAACACAUGCAAGUCGAACGGAGCUGAGAGAAGCUUGCUUUUCUUAGCUUAGUGGCGAACGGGUGAGUAACGCGUGAGUAACCUGCCCUGGAGUGGGGGACAACAGUUGGAAACGACUGCUAAUACCGCAUAAGCCCACGAUCCGGCAUCGGAUUGAGGGAAAAGGAUUUAUUCGCUUCAGGAUGGACUCGCGUCCAAUUAGCUAGUUGGUGAGGUAACGGCCCACCAAGGCGACGAUUGGUAGCCGGACUGAGAGGUUGAUCGGCCACAUUGGGACUGAGACACGGCCCAGACUCCUACGGGAGGCAGCAGUGGGGGAUAUUGCACAAUGGGGGAAACCCUGAUGCAGCGACGCCGCGUGGAGGAAGAAGGUUUUCGGAUUGUAAACUCCUGUCGUUAGGGACGAUAAUGACGGUACCUAACAAGAAAGCACCGGCUAACUACGUG